rnacentral:rRNA from 1 species
UACGUAGGGUGCAAGCGUUGCUCGGAAUCACUGGGCGUAAAGGGUGCGUAGGCGGGUCUUUAAGUCAGGGGUGAAAUCCUGGAGCUCAACUCCAGAACUGCCUUUGAUACUGAAGAUCUUGAGUUCGGGAGAGGUGAGUGGAACUGCGAGUGUAGAGGUGAAAUUCAUAGAUAUUCGCAAGAACACCAGUGGCGAAGGCGGCUCACUGGCCCGAUACUGACGCUGAGGCACGAAAGCGUGGGGAGCAAACAGG